AGUGAACGCUGGCGGUAGGCCUAACACAUGCAAGUCGAACGGCAGCACAGGAGAGCUUGCUCUCUGGGUGGCGAGUGGCGGACGGGUGAGGAAUACAUCGGAAUCUGCCCAGUCGUGGGGGAUAACGUAGGGAGACUUACGCUAAUACCGCAUACGACCUUCGGGUGAAAGAGGGGGAUCGCAAGACCUCUCGCGAUUGGAUGAGCCGAUGUCGGAUUAGCUAGUUGGCGGGGUAAUGGCCCACCAAGGCGACGAUCCGUAGCUGGUCUGAGAGGAUGAUCAGCCACACUGGAACUGAGACACGGUCCAGACUCCUACGGGAGGCAGCAGUGGGGAAUAUUGGACAAUGGGCGCAAGCCUGAUCCAGCCAUACCGCGUGGGUGAAGAAGGCCUUCGGGUUGUAAAGCCCUUUUGUUGGGAAAGAAAUCUUUCAGGCUAAUACCCUGGGAGGAUGACGGUACCCAAAGAAUAAGCACCGGCUAACUUCGUG
rnacentral:rRNA from 1 species